GCGGCUGCGGGGGCCGGGGCGGCGAGUGUGGGCUUCAGCCGUGCCAGGAGCAUGGUGGAGGGGGUCCUCUUCGUGGGUUGAAGCUACCACCUCCCGCUCUCCUCACGGUAUGGAAAAUACCCAAACGCGCUUAAAAAAAAAUAAUAAAACAACCCCAAAGCACCCGAGGAUUGAUUUAUCUUCAGAGCCGGAGUGGCGCGGGGAAGAAGCCGUCGCCGCUUGCCUUGCUCCCCACGACAACCCGACCGCCAUUCGGUUAAUUAAAAGCAUGUACUUGGUGUGAUCAGAUGUGGUAAUACCAUAAAAAAAAAAAUACCCCGUAACAUCCAAACGCUCGUUGUUGGAGGCUGCAGCCAAGUGCUGGUAUCUCUGCAACGGCAGGUGUGGAACCGUAGGGACCGUAAGAACCGUAACCAAGGACAGAUGAGAUGUCUUCUGGGGUCAUUUCCAACGCCAGAGAAGAAACGUCGGUGAUUUAUAUUUUUUUCUUGCCUGCGGUAGCUUUUACUCUAAGCUCCGCCGUAUCUUGUGAGAAGACUGAGUUUGACCCUUUCAGUUGUUAAAAAUUAUGCCAUUUUUAAACUUUCAUGGUUUUUUCCCUUCCCUGUGGUCACAUAGAAGACCAAGCCGUGCAAUUAAAACGGUGUAGCAAAGGGCAGCUCCCUCCCCCUUUCUCCUUUCAAAAAACCUUCCAGAGUUGUGUGCUCUUGAACUGCUGCAUAGGCAGAAAGCAUACAAUGCAGUUGUCAGCAUUGUGCUGAUGUGUGGCACAUUAAAAAAAAAAAAAAAUACACACAAAAGGGGUGGGGAGAACGGUUGCCUCCAGGGAGUAAAACUGUGGGGCCCCUUUCCCUACAAGCGAACAGCCCUACGUGCGAUAGUAUAUUACUCCGAAUUUUGCUCAGGCAAAGGCAACGGGCUAACGUCAGAGGGAGUGUUGCAACGUCCUAAAUUGUCUUGGUGAAGAUCAGGGUCCCCUUGAACUAUUUUUUUUUUUAAUGUGUGAACUUGCUCCCACGAGAUGCUGCUGGUUUAUUACUCGAUUCCUCAAAGUCGUGCUCGCUCACCACCAGGAAGAAGGAAAAGGCUUCCUUAUUGGGCGUGAUUUCUUUUGUUGUGUUGCAAAAGGUAAUAAAAAGCACCUGGUGCUGGUCUCUUCUAGGUCACACAUGACUUCAAGGCGCAGAAUCCUGGCAAUCAUUAGUGCGCGAAGAGUGUUAGGUAUCGACGCCUUCUCGUUAGCCUCCCUUAAUGAGAAUAUUGGCAUCGGUGUUGCGUGAAUGCCUCUGGCUGACCAGCGGAGAGGCCCUGCCUUGCUAAGCUGGAGCAACACCUUAUGAGAAAUGCAGUGAUUUCACUGCCAAUGAGGCCGUCUGGUUCCUGAUUUGUAGCACAGCUAUGACUUUAUGCUUUUCUGGCAAAAAUUUAGCGGAGGGUAAGUAUGAGGUGUCCGGGCCAGAUGUCAUACCGUGCUCCCUGCGGUGGAGAGCUGGGGAAAGUUGGUGUGUGGUGUAUGUAAAAAUUGCCAAUAGCUCCUGUGCCUAAAGCCUCGUCUGUACCUGAAAUAAACCAGCGUGGACAGGGAUAUUAAUUUUAUUCUCUCGUUAGGAUGUAUUGGUUUGGAGAUACGCCUCGUGUUCAUCAGAGGCCUUCGCUGGCACGGAGGAACAGUGGACCAAGAAGCUGGCUGUUUGGGAUGUUUCCACGUUUUUCAGGUUGGCACACCCUGUGGGACUCGGAAUUACUUUUCUUUGGCAGUUCAGGACAAACGAGUGAGAAUUACCUUGUGAGCGCUGAACUUUCACCACCCUCUGCUUUGGACUGAAGAGUUACUAGAACUACGUCCACGAGGUUUCCAAGCUAAACAAAACCUGAAUUUCCAGUGCCAAAAAGCAAGCGAGCGAUAGAAACCUCCGCUCCUCCUCCAUAAGGGGGGAAACCGCAGUCUUUCAAGCUUUCCUGUUAUCCCAAAGAGUUAAAAAGCUGCAUCGUGAGAUCUGCAGAGGUAAAAUGAAGGCCAAAGCUCGCCAAGAAACUCCUGCGCCGUAUUGCUGGAGAGGUUUUUGAGCGCAGCAGGUCUCGAUGCACAAGUAUUUUUCUUUUGUGUCUUUCUCUGAAAUCAAAGAGCGAUAACCGCGCAAACCGUGUUCAGUCUGCUCCGUUUAAAAUGCCAUCGAGUUGCUUUGGUAUCAAAACAGUGUUUGGCGAAACACAAGCUCUGAUGGUGGCUGGCUCGGUAUUUAUUUUGUGCUGGGUGUGCUGAUCAAUCCGAUGGGGAAUGGGGGGAAGAGCAGCCUUUAGCUCACAGGUUUGGACUGUGGGUUUUGCGUUAAACCCUUGUCCUGCAACAUCUCCAGCGCAAUUUCUGUCAUUUUUCCUGGGCAUUGCACGCGGGGUCUUUAUGUAGAGGUUAUACAGCAACUGGGUGUUAAAAAUGGCGAAGUACAGGAUACGGUGAUCUAUCCAGCCCUAGGGGAUUUGUCCUUCGCAGUUGUCAUGUUCGGGUAUCAAAUCACGUGGGGCUGGCUUUUUUUGGUUGUUUUCUUUGUUUUUCCCCCAAAAUGUAGUAUUUUGCAGCCUGGAAGACCAAAGUCCUCUCUGUCUCGCUGGUGAAAUGCCCCGUGUUUGGGAAAAACCCU